rnacentral:rRNA from 1 species
GAUGAACGCUGGCGGCGUGCCUAAUACAUGCAAGUCGAGCGAACGGACGAGAAGCUUGCUUCUCUGAUGUUAGCGGCGGACGGGUGAGUAACACGUGGAUAACCUACCUAUAAGACUGGGAUAACUUCGGGAAACCGGAGCUAAUACCGGAUAAUAUUUUGAACCGCAUGGUUCAAAAGUGAAAGACGGUCUUGCUGUCACUUAUAGAUGUAUCCGCGCUGCAUUAGCUAGUUGGUAAGGUAACGGCUUACCAAGGCAACGAUGCAUAGCCGACCUGAGAGGGUGAUCGGCCACACUGGAACUGAGACACGGUCCAUACUCCUACGGGAGGCAGCAGUAGGGAAUCUUCCGCAAUGGGCGAAAGCCUGACGGAGCAACGCCGCGUGAGUGAUGAAGGUCUUCGGAUCGUAAAACUCUGUUAUUAGGGAAGAACAUAUGUGUAAGUAACUGUGCACAUCUUGACGGUACCUAAUCAGAAAGCCACGGCUAACUACGUG